CAUAAGCUGCAUUGUUCGUAUCCACAUAAGUUUUAACCUUUAAGCUGUAAAAGGGAGUUUUAUAUAAAAACAGGAAUGGCAUGCCCGGUUCACUUAGUCAAUCGGGACAAACAGGAAUGUUUUUGCGAACACCCACUUUGAGGAGUGGUGGUUUAAAACUUUCAUGAUUCACGAUACGGCAAACGCGGCUUACAU
rnacentral:other from 1 species